GCGUGAAGUCUACGAUCCAAGAUGUGGAAACAGUAAAGUGAAUCCUCCAUGUUGUUCAACAUUUUUGUUGGACUU